rnacentral:rRNA from 1 species
AUUGAACGCUGGCGGCAGGCCUAACACAUGCAAGUCGAACGAGUGGCGGACGGGUGAGGAAUGUCUGGGAAACUGCCCGAUGGAGGGGGAGAACUACUGGAAACGGUAGCUAAUACCGCGUCCCAACGGGUGUGGCCAGGUGGGGUUAGCUUGUAGGUGGGGUAACGGCUCACCUGGGCGACGAUCCCUAGCUGGUCUGAGAGGAUGACCAGCCACACUGGAACUGAGACACGGUCCAGACUCCUACGGGAGGCAGCAGUGGGGAAUAUUGCACAAUGGGCGCAAGCCUGAUGCAGCCAUGCCGCGUGUAUGAAGAAGGCCUUCGGGUUGUAAAGUACUUUAAGCGGGGAGGCGUUACCCGCAGAAGAAGCACCGGCUAACUCCGUGCCAGCAGCCGCGGUAAUUC